UAUUGUGUCUGAUGUUUUGAAUUAUGUAUGUGACAAGCGGGAUGAAUUGAUCAAGUUGCCGAGAAUUGUCAAUGAAACUGAAGGAGACUUUUACCGACUAAAUUAGUUUCUAAAUGUGCUAGGAGCAAUACAUGGGACACACGUCAGUAUCCAGGCUCUAUUAAAAGAUGAACCAUCAUUUGUGAAUAGAAAAGGGGUACAUUCUGUCAAUGUGCAGGCUGUAUGUGAUGCCAGAGGUAAAUUCACAAACAUAAAUACACUGGCUAGGUUGCAGUCAUUAUUCGCACAUAUUCAGGACUUCACAAAUAAGAAUGACACCUUGCAAGGCAUGCACAAUAAUUAUUGCUUGUGCUUUUCUCCACAAUAUAUGCAUUUUGUUGAAUGAACCUGACAUUGAAGAUGAUGGAUUAACUGUAGGCAAUGAUGGUCAUCUUCGGGAACAGUUCAAUGGAGAUCAAAAUGGA